AGUGAACGCUGGCGGCAGGCCUAACACAUGCAAGUCGAGCGGCAGCGCGUCCGACCACCCUCGGGUGGUCGGAUGGCGGCGAGCGGCGGACGGGUGAGGAAUGCAUCGGAAUCUGCCUCGUUGUGGGGGGAUAACGUAGGGAAACUUACGCUAAUACCGCAUACGACCUACGGGUGAAAGUGGGGGGACCUUCGGGCCUCACGCGAUGAGAUGAGCCGAUGCCGGAUUAGCUAGUUGGCGGGGGUAAAGGCCUACCAAGGCCACGAUCGGUAGCUGGUCUGAGAGGAUGAUCAGCCACACUGGGACUGAGACACGGCCCAGACUCCUACGGGAGGCAGCAGUGGGGAAUAUUGGACAAUGGGCGCAAGCCUGAUCCAGCAAUGCCGCGUGUGUGAAGAAGGCCUGCGGGUUGUAAAGCACUUUCAGUGGGGAAGAACAGAUUCGGGUCAAUACCCCGGAGCCCUGACGUUACCCACAGAAGAAGCACCGGCUAACU
rnacentral:rRNA from 1 species